GAAAAAGAGGAGUGGCGAACGGGUGAGUAACACGUGGGUAACCUGCCCAUCAGAAGGGGAUAACACUUGGAAACAGGUGCUAAUACCGUAUAACAAUCAAAACCGCAUGGUUUUGAUUUGAAAGGCGCUUUCGGGUGUCGCUGAUGGAUGGACCCGCGGUGCAUUAGCUAGUUGGUGAGGUAACGGCUCACCAAGGCCACGAUGCAUAGCCGACCUGAGAGGGUGAUCGGCCACAUUGGGACUGAGACACGGCCCAAACUCCUACGGGAGGCAGCAGUAGGGAAUCUUCGGCAAUGGACGAAAGUCUGACCGAGCAACGCCGCGUGAGUGAAGAAGGUUUUCGGAUCGUAAAACUCUGUUGUUAGAGAAGAACAAGGAUGAGAGUAACUGUUCAUCCCUUGACGGUAUCUAACCAGAAAGCCACGGCUAACUACGUGCCAGCAGCCGCGGUAAUACGUAGGUGGCAAGCGUUGUCCGGAUUUAUUGGGCGUAAAGCGAGCGCAGGCGGUUUCUUAAGUCUGAUGUGAAAGCCCCCGGCUCAACCGGGGAGGGUCAUUGGAAACUGGGAGACUUGAGUGCAGAAGAGGAGAGUGGAAUUCCAUGUGUAGCGGUGAAAUGCGUAGAUAUAUGGAGGAACACCAGUGGCGAAGGCGGCUCUCUGGUCUGUAACUGACGC
rnacentral:rRNA from 1 species